rnacentral:snRNA from 1 species
GUGCUUGCUUUGGCAGCACAUAUACUAAAACUGGAAUGAUACAGAAGAUUAGCAUGGCCCCUGGGAAAGAAUGACAUGCAAAUUUGUGAAGCAUUCCAUAUUAAA